UUUAAUAUAGUGUAAAAGCACGAUACAUUUUGGUUGUGUAAGAAGUUAGUAACUUAUUAUUU
rnacentral:tRNA from 3 species